rnacentral:rRNA from 1 species
GUGAGGAAUAUUGGUCAAUGGGCGAGAGCCUGAACCAGCCAAGUCGCGUGAAGGAAGAAGGAUCUAUGGUUCGUAAACUUCUUUUGCAGGGGAAUAAAGUGCAGGACGUGUCCUGUUUUGUAUGUACCCUGAGAAUAAGGAUCGGCUAACUCCGUGCCAGCAGCCGCGGUAAUACGGAGGAUCCGAGCGUUAUCCGGAUUUAUUGGGUUUAAAGGGUGCGUAGGUGGUUUGAUAAGUCAGCGGUGAAAGUUUGCAGCUUAACUGUAAAAAUGCCGUUGAAACUGUCGGACUUGAGUGUAAAUGAGGUAGGCGGAAUGUGUGGUGUAGCGGUGAAAUGCAUAGAUAUCACGCAGAACUCCGAUUGCGAAGGCAGCUUACUAAGCUACAACUGACACUGAAGCACGAAAGCGUGGGGAUCAAACAGGAUUAGAAACCCUAGUAGUCC